rnacentral:rRNA from 1 species
UGGGGAAUAUUGGACAAUGGGCGAAAGCCUGAUCCAGCCAUGCCGCGUGUGUGAAGAAGGCCUUUUGGUUGUAAAGCACUUUAAGCGAGGAGGAGGCUACUUGGAUUAAUACUCUAGGAUAGUGGACGUUACUCGCAGAAUAAGCACCGGCUAACUCUGUGCCAGCAGCCGCGGUAAUACAGAGGGUGCGAGCGUUAAUCGGAUUUACUGGGCGUAAAGCGUGCGUAGGCGGCUUCUUAAGUCGGAUGUGAAAUCCCUGAGCUUAACUUAGGAAUUGCAUUCGAUACUGGGAAGCUAGAGUAUGGGAGAGGAUGGUAGAAUUCCAGGUGUAGCGGUGAAAUGCGUAGAGAUCUGGAGGAAUACCGAUGGCGAAGGCAGCCAUCUAGCCUAAUACUGACGCUGAGGUACGAAAGCAUGGGGAGCAAACAGG